CCUACGGGAGGCAGCAGUGAGGAAUAUUGGUCAAUGGGCGAGAGCCUGAACCAGCCAAGUCGCGUGAGGGAGUACUGCCCUAUGGGUUGUAAACCUCUUUUGUCGGGGAGCAAAAGCCGGGCGUAUCCCGCUGUUAGGGUACCCCAAACAAAAGGCUCGGCUAACCUCGUGCCAGCCGCCGCGGUAAUACGGAGGGUGCGAGCGUUAUCCGGGUUUGUUGGGGUUAAAGGGGGCGCAGGCGGAUUGUUAAGUGAGCGGUAAAAUUGUGGGGAUCAACCCCAUCCAGCCGUUGAAACUGGGGAUCUUGAGUGUGCGAGAGGUAUGCGGAAUGCGUGGUGUAGCGGUGAAAUGCAUAGAUAUCACGCAGAACCCCGAUUGCGAAGGCAGCAUACCGGUGCACAACUGACGCUGAGGCACGAAAGCGUGGGUAUCGAACAGGAUUAGAUACCCCAGUAGUC
rnacentral:rRNA from 1 species